CUGCCACCGGCCCGCAGCCCCAGCGCGCCCUGCCUGACCUGGCCGAGCCCUGCCGGGGCCAGCUCACUCUGUCACAAAGGCUCGGACGCCUCUGACGGCGAGCAGCAAAGCUUGUGCUGGUUGAGCAGCAAAGCCUGUGCUGGCUGAGCACUCGCGCCCCGCCGGUUUCAGCCCUGCGGAGGCUGCGGCAGCCGCGGUGCGCUGAGCCAGAAGCGCCGGGAACACGCCCCGGGGCUGACACCGCACUCGCAGUGAGGUGGAUCAUCCUGCCGGCUUUUACAGCUCCCUUCUCUCCUGGCACAGCCAGAAUGUUAGUCUAAGAGAUCUGGUGAAGCCUCUCCAUUUUGUCCAGAUGUAUCUUGUGGCCCAGAAAGAGUGUUUUCUCUGCCCACACACAUUAUCUUCCCCCAGCUCUAUCAAAAGGCAAAUAAACUUAUAUGUGUGAAGAAUCCCAAGAAAAUGUCUUAGAGAUGUGUGAGUUUUCUGAGUAACACCAGUGAAAAACUUUGAAUGCACAACAUUACUGAGCAGCACUGAACUUCAUACCAAGUGCCUAGGAGACCCUGGGAGAAGAGAGACAGAAAUCGAGCAGAAGAGAGAUGCCUUUUUGCAUCUUAUUUUGUUCACUUAUGAGGGAUCCUCAUUGCCAUCCUGCUUACCUGUAGGGUUGCUCAGCCUCCUCUGCAGGCUGUGUAGGAUAUAUGGGCUCCUACUUACAUAAAGGGAGGGGUUGGCCAUGGCUGGCUGCCAGGUGUCCGCUAGAGCCACUACAUCGCUCCUCCUCUGCAGCUGGGCAGGGGAGAGAGAAUAUAAC
rnacentral:lncRNA from 1 species